UACGUAGGGGCGCAAGCGUUAUCCGGAAUUAUUGGGCGUAAAGAGCUCGUAGGCGGUUUGUCGCGUCUGCCGUGAAAGUCCGGGGCUCAACUCCGGAUCUGCGGUGGGGUACGGGCAGACUAGAGUGAUGUAGGGGGAGACUGGAAUUCCUGGUGUAGCGGUGAAAUGCGCAGAUAUCAGGAGGAACACCGAUGGCGAAGGCAGGUCUCUGGGCAUUAACUGACGCUGAGGUGCGAAAGCGUGGGGAGCAAACAGG
rnacentral:rRNA from 1 species